UUGACCUCGAAUCAGGUAGGGGAUACCCUGCUGAAGCUUAGAGCAUAUCACUAAGCUGAGGCAAGGAAUGACG
rnacentral:rRNA from 1 species